UGCUUUGUAUGGUAUGUUACCUCUGAUCAGUACUCCGUUGCUUAUACAGUUAAAAGCAACGGAGUACCGAUCAGAGGUAACAUACAAUAAAAAGCAAC